AAAAGGUCAAGGUCAUGGCUGUGACAAUUGCAAAAGCCACUGCUAAGCUUGGAGUUGUAGGGGGAACAGUGUAUUUCACAGCCAAAGAGGGGCUCUGGGGGAACAGUAAAGAAACGAAUGACGCUUACAAACGCCUGAAAUCAAAAACACUUGAUGAAUGGCUCCCAGCCAGUGUGGACAUGAAACCAAGUACAAGCAAGAAGGUCUGUGUUAAAUGUUGUAGCUGCAGGUCUGUAGCUCUACAGGAACAUCCGAGUUGACAUGCUAAAAAACUAAAGUUUCUCUUGUUAAAAAGAACUUGCAAUUAGGAUGCACAAAAAAUUAUACUUGUUUUGGAGUGAUUAAACUUACACAGCAGGUUUUAAUUUCUGUAACAGAGAAACUGUUUGCCUCUGCUUGGGUUUGAACCUGGCUCCUCUUGCAGUCCAGCGCUCGAGCUAAAGGGUUAACCCACUAGCCAAAGCUAGUAGGAAUGCCAUUUAUCUGACUCUGGCACUCCUGAAAAGUUAGAGACGCCUCUUUCUUUGGAGGGGGACAGUGCGGUAGAGACAGAUAUAUGGCAUUCCUACCAGCUCUGGCUAGUGGGUUAACCCUUUAGCUCGAUCGCUGGACUGGCAAGUCAGAGGACCCUGGUUCAAACCCCAGCAGAGGCAAAAAGCCUCUCUGUUACAUUUCUAACAGACUAACAAUUCAAGCCCCAAAAAAGUCCUCAAACAUUUUACUACAGAUGUUGCCACUUUAAUUACAACUAAAAGAAUUUGAAACAUACUCUUCAGCCCUGUAAAAAGAAGUAGUGUUGUUCGUUUACAUGUCAAGAUGACAAAUGAAUGCUUAAUCUGCCUGUGGAUUUAACAUACGUACAUCACUUUCCAAGGUUGUUAAGCAUAUAUAAGGAAAAGUAUGAGGCAGGUUAAGUGAUGAUAUUAGUAUAAGUACAUGUAGUAAAUUGUCUAACAAAGUUAAUAGGAUGAAUUUUUUUCACCAAAUGAUUUAGAAAAAACAAACCUUGCAGUGUCUAAUGUGGUGUCAUUGUUAACUCUAUAAAUGGCCCUGUUGUGCGAGAACUCUAAGAAUCAUAUCAAAAGUGAUUUGAUCUAAGUUAAGUCUACAGAGUAGUGGAACAUUACCCAAAGAACUUGAACGAUAAGAUAAAGCUAUCAAUGCCAUUUUUGCAGUUUUAUCAGGGAGAAUCAUAUGUUUCUGAUACAGCCACUUGUUUGAUACAAGCCUGCACAAAAGAAAGAGAUAUUCUCUUUACUUCAUAGACAUAUAUUAUAAAUGUGAUUUUUUUUUUACAUUACAGCUUGUAUCAAAACCCUUAACUCAGAAGAAGGAAGAAACCCCUGCUGUCAAAUCUCAGCAGCCUUCACAGUAUAAUGCUUGUGUGAACACUGUUUUCAAAACUCUAGCAGACUUACCAGAAACAGUACCUGUGAAAGUUAACUCUGUAGUCACUUACUUCAAGAACCUUGGGUGAAAGUGACAGAAAUAAUUGCAUUUUUUAUGAAAACAUUAAAUUUUGUGAAUACUGCAUUAAACAUGUGAA
rnacentral:misc_RNA from 1 species